rnacentral:misc_RNA from 1 species
UACAGAGACUGCAAGCGUUAUUCGGAUUCACUGGGCGUAAAGGGUGCGCAGGCGGUCGUGUGUGUCAGGUGUGAAAGCCCGAGGCUCAACCUCGGAAUUGCGCCUGAAACUACACGACUAGAGUAUUGGAGAGGGUAACGGAAUUCACGGUGUAGCAGUGAAAUGCGUAGAUAUCGUGAGGAACACCAGAGGCGAAGGCGGUUACCUGGACAAUUACUGACGCUCAGGCACGAAAGCGUGGGGAGCAAAAGGG